AUUGAACGCUGGCGGAAUGCUUUACACAUGCAAGUCGAACGGCAGCACGGGGAACCUGGUGGCGAGUGGCGAACGGGUGAGUAAUACAUCGGAACGUGCCCAAUCGUGGGGGAUAACGCAGCGAAAGUUGUGCUAAUACCGCAUACGAUCUAUGGAUGAAAGCGGGGGAUCGCAAGACCUCGCGCGAUUGGAGCGGCCGAUAUCAGGAUUAGGGUUGUUGGUGAGGUAAAAGCUCACCAAGCCUGCGAUCUGUAAGCUGGUCUGAGAGGACGACCAGCCACACUGGAACUGAGACACGGUCCAGACUCCUACGGGAGGCAGCAGUGGGGAAUUUUGGACAAUGGACGCAAGUCUGAUCCAGCAAUGGCCGCGUGCAGGACGAAGGCCUUCGGGUUGUAAACUGCUUUUGUACAGAACGAAAAAGUCUUUAAUAACACUAGAGGCUCAUGACGGUACUGUAAGAAUAAGCACCGGCUAACUACGUG
rnacentral:rRNA from 1 species